rnacentral:rRNA from 1 species
AACGAACGCUGGCGGCAUGCCUAACACAUGCAAGUCGAACGAAGUGCCGCACGGGUUCGUAACGCAUGGGAAUCUGCCCUUGGUUCGGAAUAACAGCUUGAAACGGCUGCUAAUACCGGAUGCCUGAGGUUGAGCCCGCGUUGGAUUAUGUAGUUGGUGGGGUAAAGUCCUACCAAGCCGACGAACCAUAGCUGGUCUGUGAGGAUGAUCAGCCACACUGGGACGGAGACACGGAACAGACUCUUACGGGAGGCAGCAGUGGGGAAUAUUGGACAAUGGGCGAAAGCCUGAUCCAGUUAUGCCUCGUGAGUGAUGAAGGCCCUAGGGUUGUAAAGCUCUUUUACCCGGGAAGCUGUACCGGGAGAAUAAGCCCCGGCUAACUCCGUGCCAGCAGCCGCGGUAAUUC